UUUUCAAUUUAUUUAAAGAACUAACCAUGGAUAUGCUAUUGUGUACAGGUACUACUGUUUUUCGUCUGGGGAUUCUGUUGUUGCAAGGUUCCUUCAAUGAGCUGUUUUGAGGAGAGGGCUAUAUUCUUAUCACUUUGCAGUGAAAAAAUCGCUCCCUCCAAGCUGCUGCUGAGGAACAAAGAAAGGCUGGUGAAAAAGUAAUGAGGUUGGCAGACGAACAGAAGAAACAAAAGGAGGAACUCCAUAAGAAAAUCAUUAUGCUGGAGAAACAAUUGGAUUCAAAACAAGCAGUACAACUUGAAAUUGAGCAGUUGAGAGGUAAAGUAAAUUUUAUGAAGCACAUGGGAGAUGAAGGUGAUCAAGAAGUGUUAAAGCAAGUUGAGUUGCUGAUAAAAGCCCUAAGGGAGAAGGAAUGAGACAUUGAUGGUCUGGAAGCGUUAAACCAAAGUUUAGUUGUGCAGGAGCGCAAGAGAAAUGGUGAGCUACAAGAUGCUCAGAAAGACAUGGUUAAUGUAUUCUGAAACUUAUGAUUGAAGUUGUUGAGGAACCAUCGGAAAUGAGAGAAUCUGCAUCGAAGCUCUUCUUUGGUUGUCUAUUGUUCAGGUGCUUGACAAUUUGGAACUUUAUGUAUGUAUAUAUGAAGAGUUCCUGGUUGUUCCAGUACUGCCUCCUAAAGUAGCAUAUCUCCAAAGUGAUUGUAGUCCAUGACACUCAGAGGAUCUUUGAUGCAUGUGCAUUCACCCUAAAAUCUUUGAGUAAGCCGGAAAGCUUGGAUGCGGCAUGACUUGUAGUACCGGCGCAAGCUGUGCACGUAUAGGGCAUCCUCAUUGCCAAGGAAUUCACAAUUUUCCACGACAGAGAGAUCGUUGUCUGACCAGAAAGCUAUUUCUUGCUGAGCUUAAGGCUUGCUGUGUUCUGGAUGGUGAGACCAUUGGCCAUAAAUCGGCGGGAUACAACAGCUGUAGAAGGUGUUAGAUGAUAAAGAACUUGAUACUCAGUAGAAAAUCAACUCUCCUACACAACCUUAGUACUAAUCUGUAUACAAUUGUUAUACUACAGAGAUUUAUAUCUCAUGAAGACAAGUCCAGAAAAUAGAGAGCCAUACUUCCAAACAUUAGAAAAUGACUUUUCUGGUAAAAGGGCUUGCCAAUAUACAACACACAAUGGUAAAAAGGUUUGCCAAUUCUGAUUGAGUUAUUGUAAGUUCAAAUUGACGUGAAAAACUUCUAAUUAUAAGCUGUGUUUAUGAGAUGAUUU